AACGCGAAGAACCUUACCCACCUUUGACAUGUACGGAAGUUACCAGAGAUGGCUUCGUGCUCGAAAGAGAACCGUAACACAGGUGCUGCAUGGCUGUCGUCAGCUCGUGUCGUGAGAUGUUGGGUUAAGUCCCGCAAGAGCGCAACCCUUGUCAUUAGUUGCUACAUUCAAUUGGGCACUCUAAUGAGACUGCCGGUGACAAACCGGAGGAAGGUGGGGAUGACGUCAAGUCCUCAUGGCCCUUAUAGGUGGGGCUACACACGUCAUACAAUGGCUGGUACAAAAGGUUGCCAACCCGCGAGGGGGAGCUAAUCCCAUAAAACCAGUCGUAGUCCGGAUCGCAGUCUGCAACUCGACUGCGUGAAGUCGGAAUCGCUAGUAAUCGUGGAUCAGAAUGUCACGGUGAAUACGUUCCCGGGUCUUGUACACACCG
rnacentral:rRNA from 1 species